rnacentral:lncRNA from 10 species
UAGAAACAUCACUAAAGCUACAAUGUGGCAAAUAAACUGAAGCGAUCAAAACAGGAGACAGGAAGACCAGUAAGGAGGCUAAUGCUGUAAUUUAAAGAAGAAAAAUUGUGAGACAUAAACGAAGAAAAUAAUACUGGGAAUAAGAAAAGAGAAAAGAGUCAAAAGCCGCCAUCAAGGAGACUAUUGUAGCUGGAGGCGUUGGUAGGAAGACGACUAAAGGGCUACAUCAUGUCAAACCCUCAAGUAGGAAUUAUUGCCUUUCUUGCCUCAGUUCCCAGCUGUAUUAUGUCACCAAAUCACAUCACAGUGUAAUCAAAGAUGAAUAAAAUAUUUUUUUCUUUACCUUAAAU